UGAAAUGCUUAGAUAUCACGAAGAACUNCGAUUGCGAAGGCAGCUUGCUGGACUGUAACUGACGCUGAGGCACGAAAGCGUGGGGAUCAAACAGGAUUAGAUANCCUGGUAGUCCACGCCGUAAACGAUGAUAACUAGCUGUUUGCGAUACACAGUAAGCGGCACAGCGAAAGCGUUAAGUUAUCCACCUGGNGAGUACGCCGGCAACGGUGAAACUCAAAGGAAUUGACGGGGGNCCGCACAAGCGGAGGAACAUGUGGUUUAAUUCGAUGAUACGCGAGGAACCUUACCCGGGCUUGAACGUAGGGAGACAGUUCUGGAAACAGAAUCUCUAGCAAUAGCUGCCUACGAGGUGCUGCAUGGUUGUCGUCAGCUCGUGCCGUGAGGUGUCGGCUUAAGUGCCAUAACGAGCGCAACCCACAUCGAUAGUUACUAACAGGUUAAGCUGAGGACUCUAUCGAGACUGCCGACGUAAGUCGUGAGGAAGGUGGGGAUGACGUCAAAUCAGCACGGCCCUUACGUCCAGGGCUACACACGUGUUACAAUGGGGGGUACAAAGGGCAGCUACCUGGCGACAGGAUGCUAAUCUCAAAAACCUCUCUCAGUUCGGAUUGGAGUCUGCAACCCGACUCCAUGAAGCUGGAUUCGCUAGUAAUCGCGCAUCAGCCACGGCGCGGUGAAUACGUUCCCGGGCCUUGUACACACCGCCCGUCAAGCCAUGGGAGCCGGGGGGACCUGAAGUAUGCAACCGCAAGGAGCGUCCUAGGGUAAAACCGGUAACUGGGGCU
rnacentral:rRNA from 1 species